rnacentral:tRNA from 1 species
GGGGAUGUAGCUUAGUGGUAGGGCACUUGUUUAGUAUAUAUGAGGCCCUAGGUUCAAUCCCCAGCACUACAA